AUUUUUGUAUUUUUAGUAGAGACAGGUUUUCACCAUGUUGAUCAGGCUGGUCUCCAAUUCCUGACUUUGUGAUCUACCAAAGGUGCUGGGAUUACAGGCAUAAGCCUCUGUGCCAUAUCAUUUCUAAAGAACAUAUGGCUGGACCAAAAAUGAAUUCAGUCUGUUGGAACUGGUCUUUACACUUGGUUUGCUGAGUAAUGUUUAUUGAAAUUACUGACAUACUUGGAUGUGCUGUCACAUCCCGGUGCUUGCAGUUCCUGGCAGUGUGACUUUGGCCAGUCAGUUAUAUUUGCCAUGUCACUUCCUCCUCUAUAAAAUGGGGAUGGUUGUGUGAGGAUUAAGUGAGAUGUAUAUAAAUUAUUUGGUAGACUGACCAGCAAACAUAGACUCUCAGUUGAUUCCCUUUUUUCUCCCUGUUCUCCUCCCCUUUUAAACAGAUAUGGACAGACACGUCUCACAACCAAGUGAAGAUGCUCAGAGCAUCAAGGGGAUGGAGCUUCAGUUCUUGUGACAGAGACUGAGCAAGUGGCAGGCAGAGAGGUGCUGAUGAUUGCUGCAAGUCACAGCCAGUGUCCAGGGCCAGGCUCUAGGUCUGGCACUACACAAGGGUUCAAGCUGCUGGGGAGACAUCCAUAAAAACAUAUGUAAGGACAAUGUGGGGCACAGCAUGGUGAGUACCUCCUGGAAGGCACCAGUCACGUUCAUGCAAGAGAUAUCAGUCAAGGCCUGUCAAGUCUUGUGUGUUGUAGAUUCUGAGAGUAAGACAUGGUCCCUGCUCUCAGGAGCUCAUAGUAUCCUUGGAAAAAACAUACCAUAAGCUCUACAAGGAGCAAA